AUUGAACGCUGGCGGCAGGCCUAACACAUGCAAGUCGAGCGGUAGAGAGAUGCUUGCAUCUCUUGAGAGCGGCGGACGGGUGAGUAAUGCCUAGGAAUCUGCCUAGUGGUGGGGGAUAACGUUCGGAAACGGACGCUAAUACCGCAUACGUCCUACGGGAGAAAGCGGGGGAUCGCAAGACCUCGCGCGAUUGGAGCGGCCGAUAUCAGAUUAGGUAGUUGGUGAGGUAAAGGCUCACCAAGCCGACGAUCUGUAGCUGGUCUGAGAGGACGACCAGCCACACUGGGACUGAGACACGGCCCAGACUCCUACGGGAGGCAGCAGUGGGGAAUUUUGGACAAUGGGCGCAAGCCUGAUCCAGCAAUGCCGCGUGCAGGAUGAAGGCCUCGGUUGU
rnacentral:rRNA from 1 species